CGACAUUCCCUUGGGUCACAGAUUUUCCUGAUGAUUUACUCCUUUGAAGUCACUUAAGCUUAAGGCUAAUGCUGAGGACUUAAGAGAUUUAAACAAGCAAUGCAUUUCCUGAGGGUUUUUUUUCCCCCCAGAUACAAUCUUGUACAACAACAUUAUCCAAUGGGUGUUGGCUGAGCUUCCUAAGGUACUUUGUCACAGCACCAGUCAAUACACAGCCAUUCCGCCUAAGAGAAGGUUAAGAAGAUAAUUGGCAAUGCCGUCAGGAGGUUUGGCUGUCUUCUGAAAUUCCCUGGGCCAGUGAUGGGUGACAGUAACCACCCAGUUGCACAAACUUCAAAUCCAGGUUUCUGUUAAAGUGCAUUCUUGAUGAGGUUGCUGAAGUAUUCAAUUAACCAUUCCUCAGACUACAAUACAUCUGAACUUCCAGGAAUAUGACUUACUAAGGUUACUAUUGUAAAAAAGUGGAAAGCUUUUCAGAUCGAUGUCAUACAUUUAAUUAUCUCAUAUCUUGAUCAAGAACUGCCCUUACAAGUAUAGGAGACUGUUGAGGCUCACAUUGUGCUUGCUGAACAAUCAUACGCGGUGUGCAAAGCAGAGAGAGAUUAAGCGACAUACCCUCUUGAUGUACUGUACCACCUCCUGGAUGUAUGACCGGAUCAUCUCUGUCUUUUCCCUAAGAGCAAAUGACAACUAGAUCAUUAUAUGAACUCAUCCAGCAUCAACAAAGAGAACCUAUGGAAACUUUUGCGAUUACUCAGACAGCGGUAGUAAUUGGACUCAACCCUUCUUACUGGAGCACCACGUAGACAGUGUGGGCUUCCUAUGAAAGACCCCACUGCUGUUCACCCGUGAUGGAGACUCUCAAAUACAACUGGCUUGAGAGGCCUGUUCAUAACUCCGAUCCACAACCAAAGAUAGAACUGACACUUCUGGGUGCUUCUCGGUCAAGAGAUUUCCUGGCAG